GUGAAUCAUCGAAUCUUUGAACGCAAAUUGCACUCUCUUCGGAGAGUAUGCCUGUUUGAGGGUCAGUAUUAAUAAAAAUCGGUGUGUUGCUUCUUUGUGACGCUCCGGAGUUUGGGUCAUCUUAAUAUAUCCUUUAGGUUUUAAGAGGCUUAAAAUUGACUUUUUUUUGCGCAUUUUAUUAGAUGUACAUAAAUUUUUUUUUUUUUCGUUUGUUUUAAUGCUCAAAAUUCUAUUAGAUGCAACCAU
rnacentral:misc_RNA from 1 species